UGCCCUUGGUCCAAUCUACCGAGCUCCUUCGUGGUAUGCGAGAAUUGGGCGCCACCUCAAGGCUGUGGAGACAGCCCCUGCCCUUGGGGUAUUACCCACACCCUGGCAAGAGAAGAUGUAUGCCAGUUGCCCACAAGACCAGUUGUGUGGAACAAGCAUACGUGAGAGGAGGCACUAAGUGUUGAAAGUGACGAAAUCUGCAAACACUUGACUUAAUUUGAGUGACCGUGUUUUUGUAGCCAAUACCAAGAACCCUCUUCUACUCAACUUUUGUCUCAAAAGAAAGGAAUUCAGCCAAAUCACAUGGAUCUGAUCAUAACACCCAUUACUGAAACAAAACUGGAAUGAUCUUAACUUUGAAAAUAGCCAUCUGAAUUUGACAAAAGAUGACUCAACACCCUAAUUUUUAAAACCUGGAGUCCCCGCUCUGUCCCGCCCCAGAAGGGUGGUGGCAGCACGGCCUGGACUUCUCUGAACUGCAGGCAGGCCGGGGGCUGGACUGCAGGGAAUCAAGAAAAUGGACUCCCUUCUCCUGGGGACAUGAAUGCCAGCCACCAGCCAAGGGUGCCAGAGUUUGCAGUCUUUUGGAGGAAAAUGAUGUUUCAAGUUUCACAAUAAGAAAGAAAAGUGUGUGUCACAGUGUCAGCUCCUGCACUGGGCAGUGCUGUGGAUGGACAGAGCUGCAGAAGGAGCCCUUUUCAGAGCAGCUCUCAAGAGGCCACACAACCACAACUGUUACUGAGGAGCCUUGGAGGGAACUGAAGAUAAAGACCAAUAUGUAAUUUAGGAUUGGAAGACAUCCUUUGAUAUCUCACUACAGCGGCAAAGAUCAACCUGUGUGGGUGGAAACAGCCCGGAAGGCACCAUGGUCCAGGCCUGUCUGGACUUGAAGGGA
rnacentral:lncRNA from 1 species